AAUCCAAGAACAACUUUAUUUGGGCAGAGGGAAGAACAGGGAGAGAGGAAGAAGACAGAGAGGGAAGUAUCUUCCUAACCUCAUCCCAUUCCAUGACCUGGUUAAUUAAGGAAGGGGCAGGACAAGAGAGGGCUAAGGCCAGUGUGUUCCAGGGAUAUGAUCUAUCUCCCCAUUCUUCCCCCCCUCUCUCCCCCUUCUCAAUUCCUUCUCUCCCCUAUUGGAAAUAAGAGCAGGAACUUUCACUUUUGUCUCUGAAUUCCCCAGCACCACGCCUGGCACACUGGAGGUAUUUCAUAAAUUGUUUGAUUAACUGAUCCGUGGUUUGGUGGAGAUGGAGUGGGGUGAGGGUGAAGCGUCCAUAUUCCACAAAAUACCUCUGCCACCAGCUCCUCUUCCCUUAUCUUAGGUCACAUAUCUCUGGUCAGUAAAGGAGAGUAUGAUGGUUCUCCUGAGAAAUGUAUUAGAGCCUUAAUAGGGUGGGGGGCGGGGGUGGGAAAUCAUUCUCUGCCUCCUCAUUGGCUCUGAUAAUCAGCCCAAAUGUGAGCUGAGCCCUGUUGGCCUCACAGGGUGUGAUGACGAGCAGAGCUGAAGAACUCGAUGGGUUACACCUGUGGGAUUUCUCCAACUUGUUCUAACUAGUCAAAUUAGCAAGUCUGCCUUUGGCUAGAAGGGAGAAACAGCCGCAGCUUGGGUCCCAACAUCAAACACUCCCUUUAUGACCCAGUCUCUGUCCCCGCGGGAGGAGGAGGGUGGAGGGGUUACAUCAGGCUAGUGGGAGCUGGCAGGAUGCCAGGGAGGGUGCCUCCUCAGAGUCUGACUAAGGGGGGAUGGAUCCCCUGCCCCUUGAGAUCUUUCUUCACUGGAGCAGCCUUGACUAUGGCGGGGACCCAGCUCUCCACAGAGUAUUCUCUCACACCACCCUCAGGGGAAUGGGUGGAGGAGGCUGCAGGAGCUUCCCCAGGACUCAUCUUUCACUAUUCCUCCAAGGACUCUGUUCUCCCUGCACUGAUGAUAUCUAAGAUUUCCUUCUUCAAUUGUUGGAUUGGAGUGUGCAUAUGGAAAAGUACUGCAGGGGAUAGAAGACAAGCAGGAAUCAUGGCUCAUUGUCCUAGUUUUCUACUUCCAACUCCCAACUUCCAUCAUCUUCAGGCCUCAAUAAAACAGAAGCCAAAUUAGGGCAAUGGUAGUCUU
ensembl:lncRNA